rnacentral:rRNA from 2 species
GAAUGCUGACAUAAGUAACGAUAAAGCGGGUGAAAAGCCCGCUCGCCGGAAGACCAAGGGUUCCUGUCCAACGUUAAUCGGGGCAGGGUGAGUCGACCCCUAAGGCGAGGCCGAAAGGCGUAGUCGAUGGGAAACAGGUUAAUAUUCCUGUACUUGGUGUUACUGCGAAGGGGGGACGGAGAAGGCUAUGUUGGCCGGGCGACGGUUGUCCCGGUUUAAGCGUGUAGGCUGGUUUUCCAGGCAAAUCCGGAAAAUCAAGGCUGAGGCGUGAUGACGAGGCACUACGGUGCUGAAGCGACAAAUGCCCUGCUUCCAGGAAAAGCCUCUAAGCAUCAGGUAACAUCAAAUCGUACCCCAAACCGACACAGGUGGUCAGGUAGAGAAUACCAAGGCGCUUGAGAGAACUCGGGUGAAGGAACUAGGCAAAAUGGUGCCGUAACUUCGGGAGAAGGCACGCUGAUAUGUAGGUGAAGCGACUUGCUCGUGGAGCUGAAAUCAGUCGAAGAUACCAGCUGGCUGCAACUGUUUAUUAAAAACACAGCACUGUGCAAACACGAAAGUGGA